rnacentral:tRNA from 1 species
UAGCUCAAUGGCAGAGCACUUGCCUAGCAUGCAAGAAGCCCUGGGUUCAUCCCUAG